UAUGUUUGCCUCCUCCAACACAUCAAAAUGCGUUUACAUCCAACCUGGGAAUGGCUUGUUUGGCUCAACCUUUAUUUGCAAUUUCUGAGUAUGCAACAGGUUCACGUUUGUGUGACCAAGCGUUACUUAUAGACACAAUUUCCUCCCCUCCCGCACGUGAUCCAAAAAUCCCCGAGGUGGUGCGUCAGCAACAAUCUUUGCCUCCAACGAACGACAAAGCCGAUGUUCUGACAUCGCCAGUUGCGUUGUCUACUCCACAAACAAAUUCUUCCACGAAAAGCUCUCAACGGGGACGUCCGAAGGGUAGUAAGAACAAACCAACACCCUUGCCUGUUGAUUUCUUGGAACCAGUUCCGGGAGAAUAUGGAGUAACGACUCUUGCACAAAGAGUGUGGUUGUUAGGGAAACAAUUGGGUUUGAAACCAAGAGGGUCUGAAGCGUUGAUGCUUAGAGGAUUAGAGGCACAAAUUCGGGAAAAUCAUCCGCAUCUCAAUUGACAUGCUUGGUCCUUGGGUCAUUUGGAAUCUUCGUGGGUUGGGAGGUUUAACUAAAAGGCAGUGAUGAAGGCUAAGUUGAAGUGGAAACUAGAUUUUUUGUUGUUAUGUGAGGCAAGCUUAAAUGAGCAGCAACGACGUUUUGAAGAGUCAUGGAAUCAAGAUUUGCAGCUGAGUUAUGUUGAGGUGUUUCUAAUUCAUGCAGGAGUUCGCUGUUAUGUUUUUGGGGGUCAUGUUUUUUUUUUGCUGAUUGAGUGCAUACUGUUUUGUGUUGCUAAUUGGUGAUUUUAGUCUGAAGGUUGCAUAAUUAUAUCUGGUGUUACUGUGUGGGAUAUCUCAAUUUAGGUGAUCCUCUGAAAUUGAUUUUGUGCGCAUCAAGGAUGGCUGAUUUCAUGAUUUUUUUGGGUGCUGUUAUUCACUGCUGCUGUUGCUGGUUGAUUUUAAGUGUUGUUGCUGAUGCGGUCGUUUGCUGCCUGUGCUGUGCUGUUGCUGUGUGCUGUUGGCUGCGAAAAUUGAAGGGUGCAGUUGCUGUUGUUGCUGUUUACUACAAGGGCUGCUAUUGUUACGGAAAUUGUUGUUGUUUCUGAUGCUGGAGGUGUUGUUUUGGACUAGAAAAUUUUGGAGAGCUCAUGUUUAGAUGUAAAAGGGCCUAAGUUUGUCUUUUUGUAUAAGGGUAACAGAAUUGGCAAUUUUAAAGAAGUGGUUCUCUUUUUC